GCCUAAUACAUGCAAGUCGAGCGCGCCCUUCGGGGUGAGCGGCGGACGGGUGAGUAACGCGUGUGCAACCUACCUCAUACUGGAGGAUAGCCCUUGGAAACGAGGAUUAAUACUCCAUGGUAUCAUGAAUUCGCAUGUUUUUAUGAUUAAAGUUUUUCGGUAUGAGAUGGGCAUGCGUCCCAUUAGCUAGUUGGUGAGGUAACGGCUCACCAAGGCGACGAUGGGUAGGGGGCCUGAGAGGGUGGUC
rnacentral:rRNA from 1 species